AUAGGAAACACUAAGGCAUCUUAGUGUUUUUAAAAGACCUUUUUCGAAAGGUAUACUUAAAGAGGGGCUUGCGCCACAUUAGUUAGUUGGUAGGGUAAAAGCCUACCAAGACGAUGAUGUGUAGCUGAACUGAGAGGUUGAACAGCCACAUUGGGACUGAGACACGGCCCAAACUCCUACGGGAGGCAGCAGUAGGGAAUUUUCGGCAAUGGAGGAAACUCUGACCGAGCAACGCCGCGUGAACGAUGAAGUACUUCGGUAUGUAAAGUUCUUUUAUCGAAGAAGAAAACGUAGUGGAAAAACUACCUUGACGCUAUUCGAUGAAUAAGCCCCGGCUAACUAUGUGCCAGCAGCCGCGGUAAUACAUAGGGGGCGAGCGUUAUCCGGAAUUAUUGGGCGUAAAGGGUGCGUAGGCGGUUUGAUAAGUCUCUAGUUUAAAUUCAGUGCUUAACGCUGUCCUGCUAGAGAAACUGUCUGACUUGAGUAAGAUAGAGGCAAGCGGAAUUCCAUGUGUAGCGGUAAAAUGUGUAAAUAUAUGGAGGAACACCAGAGGCGUAGGCGGCUUGCUGGGUCCUUACUGACGCUGAGGCACGAAAGCGUGGGGAGCAAACAGGAUUAGAUACCCUGGUAGUCCACGCCGUAAACGAUGAGUACUAAGUGUCGGGGUUCAUCCCUCGGUACUGAAGUCAACACAUUAAGUACUCCGCCUGAGUAGUACGUACGCAAGUAUGAAACUUAAAGGAAUUGACGGGAUCCCGCACAAGCGGUGGAUCAUGUUGUUUAAUUCGAAGAUACACGAAAAACCUUACCAGGUCUUGACAUACUCUGCAAAGCUAUAGAAAUAUAGUGGAGGUUAUCAGGGAUACAGGUGGUGCAUGGUUGUCGUCAGCUCGUGUCGUGAGAUGUUAGGUUAAGUCCUAAAACGAGCGCAACCCUUGUCGUUAGUUGCCAGCAUGUAAUGAUGGGGACUUUAACGAGACUGCCAGUGAAAAAAUUGGAGGAAGGUGAGGAUUACGUCAAAUCAUCAUGCCCCUUAUGAUCUGGGCUACAAACGUGAUACAAUGGCUAUGACAAAGAGCAGCUGAAACGUGAGUUUUUAGCAAAUCUCAAAAAAAUAGUCUCAGUUCGGAUUGAAGUCUGCAACUCGACUUCAUGAAGUUGGAAUCGCUAGUAAUCGCGAAUCAGCAUGUCGCGGUGAAUACGUUCA
rnacentral:rRNA from 1 species